ensembl:lncRNA
AGGCAUCCAUUUUUUUAGUCAAUAAUGGGCCCUUGCUGCUCCAACAUGACUGCACACCAAUGCACCAAGCAAAGUCCAUAAAGUCAUCAAUUAGCCACUUUGGUGUGGAAGAACUUGACUGGUCUGCGCAGAGUUCUGACCUCAACCCGACACAACAACUUUGGGAUUAAUUAGAGUGGAGACUGGGAAUCAGGCCUUCUCGUCAACAUCAACGUCUGACUUCACAAAUUCCCAUGAACACUAACCCUUGUGGGUUAAUUCUGAAAUGAUGGGCGUUUUGUGAUCAGCUUGGCUAGACUGACAACACGAUCAACAAUAUCUACAGCUAAAAGUGAAAUCAUGGAUAUUUUGCUUAAGGAAAUAAGACGCAAGGAUGAAGUGGCAGCCAAUAAACUGGAAGAGGAAGGUUUGAGAGCUGACUCAGAUCUCCAGUUACUGACUUUACAAGACCUGGGUUUGCUGUUACCUGGAGUUGAAAAUGUCAAACGGAUAAGGGAAAUCUUUGAUAUAAUACACAAGCAGAAACCAAUUGGUGUGCUCAUAGAAAAAUUCAAGGACUUCAUCCCACAUGAAUCUUUCAGGGCUGCCUUAACUGAAAAUGGAGUUUUGGUUGACUACCUGAAAAUGUUGAAGGAAAUGAAGAUCCAAUUGAAUAAAGUGCAAGAUUUCCUUGAUGCACAUAUCAAUCUACUGGAGGACCUCAGGAAAUCUCAACCAUUGCAGAACCAGGACAAAGGUUCUUCGUCAAGUGGUCCAGUGAAGCGCCACAAUAGCCAAACCAGUGACCCUCCACAAAUGCAACAAGAGGAAAACGUUUUGCAUAAAGAAAAAAGACACAAGGAUGAAAAAGCAGCAGGUUCUUCGUCAAGUAGUGAGAAUAGCCAAACUAGUGACCUUCCAGAAAUACAACAAGCCACACUGAAGUACAAGAUGGUGAUAAGUGGAAAAACCUUUAAUGCCCAUCAACAGAUACUGGAAAAAGUAAAGGCUUUAAAUGAGGAUCCAGAUUUGAAUUUGAUCGAACAGGAAGACAGCAAUCAGGAUUGCCAGGCCAUUAUUGUCUUCUGUCCCAUUGUUUCACGUAUGGGGACAGAUAUUGAUGCAGCCAUGACGCAAGUCAAAGGUUCUCAGCCUGUCAUUCUGGUUUUGAUGCAUCACGCACAUGAACCCAAGCAUGUAACUUUAAUGAAAAUACAGAAUAAUGUUUCUAAUGUUGUGUUACCUUUCCAUGUUUUCUACCAUGAGACAGUGCAUGGAUUGUUGCAGUGUCAGCAAAAUAACGAUGCCAUUUCUGAAAUUCGAAAGGCAUUACUGAAGCACGCAGAUAUCCAGACAAUUAAAGAUACAAGUGGAAAGACACAGAAUGUAGCUGCUAAAAGUAGUAAUCGUGGUGGGAGUUUUAUUUUUCGUUUUUGGUAAAUAAUGAUAGUGUAAAUUCAGAUAUUACAAGUCAAAGAAACUGUAUAUAUAUCCCAUGCAUUACUCUUUUGUAAUCUAAUUUUUUUUGCGCUGUAUCACUUCAGUAGUGUAGAUUGCUCUGACCAUUUGAGUAGGAAGCGAAAAUUUUAUGGUUUUGAUCAUGCAAAAUAAUUAUUUUGUACAUUGUGAAACAAAAGGACAGCACAGAAUCGUCUUUGUGACCUUUAUUUCAGUACUUUAAGAUAUUUCAGCUGUAAGGGUAGUUGCAGAGUCAACAGGUGUGAUCAUGAAGUGUCAAAGAAGAGGUCAGAGACACAGUAUAUGGGUGUAGAUAGUCAUAAAACUACUUUCAACUGUACCAACUGCUGUUUAUCUCUAAAAACAAAAGUGACAGCUACAGCUGUAUGUACACAGUGACAUCGUAAGUCCUUUGAUCAUUAAGAUAAAUAAUAAAUAUAUUUAUAUCAAAGUCAAACAUAUUGUGAUUAGUUUCACGGUUGCUAUGUAAAUCUGCAAGUUAUUUUCAUCUUUCAGAAAAAAAAAAUCAAGCCAAUGUUUAAAAUUGUGAAUAAAAAU